AACGAACGCUGGCGGCAUGCCUAACACAUGCAAGUCGAACGGGAUCCUAGCUUGCUAGGUGAGAGUGGCGGACGGGUGAGUAACACGUGGGAAUCUGCCUUUUGGUUCGGGAUAACCGCGGGAAACUGCGGCUAAUACCGAAUGCCCUCGAGAGAGGAAAGAUUUAUCGCCAGAAGAGGAGCCCGCGUCCGAUUAGGUAGUUGGUGGGGUAAAGGCCUACCAAGCCGACGAUCGGUAGCUGGUCUGAGAGGAUGAUCAGCCACACUGGGACUGAGAUACGGCCCAGACUCCUACGGGAGGCAGCAGUGGGGAAUAUUGGACAAUGGGGCAACCCUGAUCCAGCAAUGCCGCGUGAGUGAUGAAGGCCUUAGGUUGUAAGCUCUUUUGCCAGGGAAGAUGAUGACUGUACCUGGAGAAUAAGCCCCGGCUAACUUCGUGCCAGCAGCCGCGGUAAU
rnacentral:rRNA from 1 species